GACGAACGCUGGCGGCGUGCUUAACACAUGCAAGUCGAACGGAAAGGCCCUGCUUUUGUGGGGUUCUCGAGUGGCGAACGGGUGAGUAACACGUGAGUAACCUGCCCUUGACUUUGGGAUAACUUCAGGAAACUGGGGCUAAUACCGGAUAGGAUCUCCUGCUGCAUGGUGGGGGUUGGAAAGUUUCGGCGGUUGGGGAUGGACUCGCGGCUUAUCAGCUAGUUGGUGGGGUAGUGGCUUACCAAGGCUUUGACGGGUAGCCGGCCUGAGAGGGUGACCGGCCACAUUGGGACUGAGAUACGGCCCAGACUCCUACGGGAGGCAGCAGUGGGGAAUAUUGCACAAUGGGCGGAAGCCUGAUGCAGCAACGCCGCGUGCGGGAUGACGGCCUUCGGGUUGUAAACCGCUUUCGCCUGUGACGAAGCGUGAGUGACGGUAAUGGGUAAAGAAGCACCGGCUAACUACGUG
rnacentral:rRNA from 1 species